rnacentral:rRNA from 1 species
GAGUUUGAUCGUGGCUCAGGACGAACGCUGGCGGCGUGCCUAAUACAUGCAAGUAGAACGCUGAAGGAGGGAGCUUGCUUCUUCUGGAUGAGUUGCGAACGGGUGAGUAACGCGUAGGUAACCUGCCUGAUAGCGGGGGAUAACUAUUGGAAACGAUAGCUAAUACCGCAUAAGAGGUAAUAACACAUGUUAUUGGUUUAAAAAGGGGCAACUGCUCCACUAUCAGAUGGACCUGCGUUGUAUUAGCUAGUUGGUAAGGUAACGGCCCACCAAGGCGACGAUCAGUAGCCGGUCUGAGAGGAUGAACGGCCACAUUGGGACUGAGAUACGGCCCAGACUCCUACGGGAGGCAGCA